rnacentral:rRNA from 1 species
AUUGAACGCUGGCGGCAGGCCUAACACAUGCAAGUCGAGCGAGCGGCGAACGGGUGAGUAAGGUCUGGGAAACUGCGUGAUGGAGGGGGAUAACUACUGGAAACGGUAGCUAAUACAGCGUAUCAUCAGAUGUGUCCAGAUGGGAUUAGCUAGUGGGUGGGGUAACGGCUCACCAAGGCGACGAUCCCUAGCUGGUCUGAGAGGAUGACCCGCCACACUGGAACUGAGACACGGUCCAGACUCCUACGGGAGGCAGCAGUGGGGAAUAUUGCACAAUGGGCGCAAGCCUGAUGCAGCCAUGCCGCGUGUGUGAAGAAGGCCUUCGGGUUGUAAAGCACUUUCAGCGGGGAGGCGUUACCCGCAGAAGAAGCACCGGCUAACUCCGUGCCAGCAGCCGCGGUAAUAC